UAGGCCUCGUGCGUUCACACAAGAAGCAAGCAAGCACAACUUUAAGCUCCGCGUUUUAAUAAUUCCGUGUUUACAUCGAAAAACAUGAGAAAAGCACCGAGGAUGAAUGCAACUAACUGUGUGAACGUCCUCAUUCCUGUUGUGUUGCUUGGACACUUCCAGUACGUGGAGCACCAGCGGUAGAGCUUGACGCAUUAUGACGCCAUAGUUCAGUGGAAUCUGUUCAGAGCAGUUCAUCUGUGAGUGAAGUUGUUCAGACCAUUUUAACUGUUCGUGAUCGCAAUGAAAAGCCGAAAAAGCAAGAAGCUGACAAGGCCAAGCAUUACUCCUGCUAUUGAGAGCCCUUCCCAGACCCAGUUACCUCAAUUUAUACCUUCCUUGCCUGGCCCAUCUUCUAACGCGAGGCCUCCAUCCAGGCGCAUGAAGGGAAGACAAAGAAACGUUGUAUUUCCUGACAUUGGAAAUGCAGUGAAUUCUGUGACCAGAAGAAACGGCACCGGAGACCCUUUACCCUCCGUCCCGGUCAUUCCAGCCGUGCCAAAAGGUGACCAGAAUGAGAAGACCAUCUGCAGUGAUGCUGCGACCUUUCUCUCUGCCACGGACAGGGCAAGACUUUUUGGCAUCAACAAGUGGUAUUAGUCUCCAGGUUAAUGAAAUCAUCAGAAAAAGAAGAAAUCUGUUCAAAAAAAUAAAACCAUAAAUAAAUCUGUCUUUGUAAAAUAAUAACUGUGCAUUAAAAACAGUUGUUUCAGCUUCAGUGUCAUAUUACUUGAACUAUAGUCUAUGGAAACUUAUUUCAAUCAUGAAGUAACAAAAUAUAAACGAUAAUCAGGACUUUUUAAUUUCACAAUUCAUACUCUGUUGAUGCAGUUAUGAGAAAAAAUGGCCAGUAUUAUAAGAUAUAUAUACUGUAGUCAGGGCUUUGAAAUAUAAACUCGCAUUUCUAAGAGAAGUCAUAAUUGAACGUAGCUUGUUUCCUUGUGUUUUUCUCGCAGUUUAUAAAAUGUAUCUAUAGAACUA